rnacentral:tRNA from 1 species
AGGAAUGUAGCUCAGUGGUAGAGCUCCUUUGUAGCAUGUAUGAGACCCUGGGUUUGAUCCCCAGCACAUAUG